CCAAGCCGCGUGAAGGACGAAGGUGCCAAGCAUUGUAAACUUCUUUUUGUCAAGGGAACAAAAUCAGGCUCGAGAGCCUGACCGAGGGUACUUGAAAGAAAAAGCAUCGGCUAACUCCCGUGCC
rnacentral:rRNA from 1 species